UUCUUGUCAAUGUGCUUUCGUAACCUGUCUGUGAAGACUGCUUAUGAAAUUCAGGGCAGGUUGUGGACUGGAAAUGAUGAAAUACUUGCAGCCUUUGGUCAAGUACAACUUCAUGACCUAACUACAUCUCAGCAAGGUAUUACAAUGAAAGCCAACCUGUCCCAGCUGUUUCAGCUGGAUUUCCCGACCUCUGUCAGCCUAGAUAUUGAGGUGCUCAGGAGUCACAGGAACAACAGCGAGUUUGAAUAUCAUUCUGAAGGGAAUGUUGCCAUUGACGACAAGAUUUACCAUGCUAAUGCAGCAAUAACAGUAUCCCCUUUUGGAAACAUCAGCAG
rnacentral:lncRNA from 1 species